GCACAUUGAGCAGAUGUUUUCAGAGAACUAUCCACGAUGACGCCAAGAUCUUUCUUGCGUGGUAACGGCUAAUUUAGACCCCAUCAUUUUCUCUUCUAUUGACACCUCAGUCUGGAACAGGUCCUCAGAUGUGUCCCCUAAAAAGAAUGGUUCAGGAGUGGGAAUCUCCCUGAUGUUCUCUGCAGUGAAGACUGAUGCAAAGAAUUCAUUUAGCUUCUCUGCAAUGGCUUUGUCUUCUUUGACUGCUCCUUUAGCACCUUGAUCGUCCAGUGGCCCCACUGAUUGUUUGGCAGACUUCCUGCUUCUGCUGUACUUAAAACAAUUUUUACUGUUAGUUUUUGUGUCUUUUGCUAGUUGCUCUUCAAAUUCAUUUUUGGCCUGCUUAAUUAUACUUUUACACUUGACUUGAUAGUUUUUCUUUCUGUUUUCUUCAGUAGGAUUUAACUUCCAAUUUUUAAAGGAUGCUUUUGGCCCCUAACCGCCUAUUUUUACUCAGCUUACAGCUCUUCCUGCUUCCCGUCCCCUGCUCUGACCCAAACCUCAUUUGGAGUCAUUCUCUGAAGGAGCUAGGGAAUCAGUGCACCCAUCCCUUCCUAACCUGAGGCUGCCCCAGUCCUUUCUCCUGCCUUGUCACUUUCUCACAUGCUCUGUGUCCCAGAUGGUUUUCCCGGGUGCUAGGAGCUGCAGCAGUUCCCUCAGAGGCGAAGAGACCCCUUUGUGCCCCCAUAGCACAGUGAUAGUGACAUCCCUGAUCAGACUCUAAACCUCCAAGUAAAUGAGAGAGGCCCAAACUAGUGGAUCCGAUGGAAAGAAUAGAGCCCUGCCAACAGAGCAAGCUUGUGGUAUUAGAGCACAAAUCCUCUUUGGAAUCUUACAAAAGAUCCCCUGGUACUGUGGUGCAUUCGCUAAUUCUCAGCUAAUGACCUUCCCUAAGAAGCUUCAAUUCCAGAGUCUAAAUCACUGCAGUGGUGCAGUAUGGCUGUUAAGCAGCUACCAUGUUCCACCCAAUAGUUGGCUGCAUUACAGCAGUGGCUAAAGUGACUUGUUUAUAGAGACAGUCUCAAGUGCUCUGGGUAGAGGUACAAGGGAGCCUAAUUAAAUAUUAUUGAGUUAAUACACAAGAUGUGUAGACUCUGCAGCAACUCCAGCUGGUAAAACCAGGACUGUCAAUCAUCAUGCCUCCUGAUGCCAUGGUCUUUUGUCUCAUGGUGCCAUUUGGUUAGUGGGAGGCAUUGGGUUUCUAGGCCCUUGUGAAAGGAUGUAUGAUUCCUAGAUUCCAAGGCCAGAAGGGAGCACUGUGAUCUAGUCUGUCCUCCUGUAAAACACUGCCCAGAGAACUGCCCCGAAAUAAUCCCCAGAGCAGAUCUUUUGAAGAACCGUCCAGUAUCGACUUAAAAAUGUUCAGUGAUGGAGAAUCCACCAGGAUCCUUAGUAAAUUGUUCCUAUGGUUAAAUGCCCUCACUGUUAAAAAUUUAACCUUUAUUUCCGGUCUGAAUUUGUCUAGCUUCAACUUCAAGCUAUUGGGUCAUGUUAGACCUUUCACUGCUACACUGAAGAGUCCAUGAUCAAAUUAUUUGUCCACACGUAGGUAAUUUACAGACUGUAAUUGAGUCACCCAUUAAGUGUAUCUUUGUUAAGCAAAUAGAUUGAGCUCCUUGAGUCUGUCGCUAUAAGGCAGGUUUUCUAAUCCUUGUUGCGGCCCUUCCCUGACCCCUCUCCAAUUUUUCAACAUCCUUCUUGAAUUGUGGAGAUGGACCCAGGAUUCCAACGGGGGUCACACCAGUGCUAAAUACAGAGGUAAAAUAACCUCUCUGGUGCUCCUCAGAAUUCCCUUGUUUAUGCACUGCAGGAUGGCAUUAACCCUUUUGGCCACAAUUUUGCACUGGGUGAUCAUGUUUGGUUAAUUAUCCACCUUGACCCCCAAAUCUUUUCAGAGUCACUGUUUCCUAGGAUAGAGCCCCCUGUUGUGUAAGUAUGGCCUGCAUUUUUUGUUGUUGUUGUUCCUAGAUGUAUACAUUGAGACACAUUAAAACACACAGUGCUUGCUUGAGCCCAGUUUACCAAACGAUCCAGAUCACUCUGUUCUAAUGACCUCUCCUCUUCGUUAUUUGCCAUUCCCCAUUUUUUUUGUGUCCUCUGCAAACUUUGUCAGUGAUGAUUUUGUUUUCUUCCAGGUCACUAAUAAAAAUGUUAAACAA